rnacentral:rRNA from 1 species
AGUGAACGCUGGCGGUAGGCCUAACACAUGCAAGUCGAACGGCAGCACAGUAAGAGCUUGCUCUUACGGGUGGCGAGUGGCGGACGGGUGAGGAAUACAUCGGAAUCUACUUUUUCGUGGGGGAUAACGUAGGGAAACUUACGCUAAUACCGCAUACGACCUACGGGUGAAAGCAGGGGAUCUUCGGACCUUGCGCGAUUGAAUGAGCCGAUGUCGGAUUAGCUAGUUGGCGGGGUAAAGGCCCACCAAGGCGACGAUCCGUAGCUGGUCUGAGAGGAUGAUCGGCCACACUGGAACUGAGACACGGUCCAGACUCCUACGGGAGGCAGCAGUGGGGAAUAUUGGACAAUGGGCGCAAGCCUGAUCCAGCCAUACCGCGUGGGUGAAGACGGCCUUCGGGUUGUAAAGCCCUUUUGUUGGGAAAGAAAAGCAGCAGGUUAAUACCCCGCUGUUCUGACGGUACCCAAAGAAUAAGCACCGGCUAACUUCGUG